UACAGAGGUCUCAAGCGUUGUUCGGAUUCAUUGGGCGUAAAGGGUGCGUAGGCGGCGCGGUAAGUCGGAUGUGAAAUCUCGGAGCUUAACUUCGAAACUGCAUUCGAUACUGCCGUGCUUGAGGACUGGAGAGGAGACUGGAAUUUACGGUGUAGCGGUGAAAUGCGUAGAUAUCGUAAGGAAGACCAGUGGCGAAGGCGGGUCUCUGGACAGUUCCUGACGCUGAGGCAACGAAGGCCCAGGGGGAGCAAACGGGG
rnacentral:rRNA from 1 species